UCGUAGGCUCAAGUGUGUGGUUGUGAGAUCAUCUCGAAAUAAUUUUAACAGUUCAGAUAUUUGACUACAAAGAGUGCUAGAGAGAGUCUCUGUUUCACUAUCAGACAGGUGCCAAUAGGUGAGUUUUCUGAGGUGAACUACAUCAUCAACCUACCAAAGGAUCAAACCCCAGCAACUCUGGAAACAAUGAGAGAAGAAAUCAUACACGAAGUCGAAAAGACUGAGAGAAACCAAUUAGUCAUAGGGAAGCUCAUGAACACAACCUAUGCCCUUCGUCGCCAAGAAAUCGUUGGAGCUCUUGUAGCUCCAUGGGUGAGAGACGUCGUGGAUAGAUGACCAGCCCUACUUAUGGAGUCACA